GACGAACGCUGGCGGCGUGCUUAACACAUGCAAGUCGAGCGGAGACUUUAUUGUAUUUAUAUAGUAAAGACUCAGCGGCGGACGGGUGAGUAACACGUGGGUAACCUGCCUCGAAGUGGGGAAUAGCCUUCCGAAAGGAAGAUUAAUACCGCAUAAUAUUAACUUUUCGCAUGAUUAGUUAAUUAAAGGAUUUAUUCGCUUCGAGAUGGACCCGCGGCGCAUUAGUUAGUUGGUGAGGUAAAGGCUCACCAAGACAAUGAUGCGAGCCGACCUGAGAGGGUGAUCGGCCACAUUGGAACUGAGACACGGCCCAGACUC
rnacentral:rRNA from 1 species